rnacentral:lncRNA from 1 species
UGUUCUAUUUCUAUUGGACAGCAGUGGUCUCCGGUGAUGCACGGUGCUGUGGGGACCAGCGGGGCAGCAUGUCACCCGGUCUGGGCUGCAGGAAUGCUGCCUGGAGGAGCAGAUGCGCCUGAGCGGAGUCUCAGCAGUGGAGCAGAGGUCAUCCAGGAUAUUUUGUAGGUCAUGCCAGGUGAAAGAGGACUGGCAAAAGGAGACGGUGCAAACUCGAGUGGAUGGAGAAGCUGGAGAGUGAGAAGACAUCUUCAAGGGGGAAACAAAGCUUUUCCUGACUUCCGUGGAUUUCUACAGAGCCUUGG